rnacentral:tRNA from 1 species
GCGCCCAUAGCUCAAUUGGAUAGAGCGUUGGUCUCCGAAGCCAAAGGUUGUAAGUUCAAGUCUUACUGGGCGCA